rnacentral:rRNA from 1 species
AUUGAACGCUGGCGGCAUGCUUUACACAUGCAAGUCGAACGGCAGCGCGGGCUUCGGCCUGGCGGCGAGUGGCGAACGGGUGAGUAAUACAUCGGAACGUGCCCAGUAGUGGGGGAUAGCUCGGCGAAAGCCGGAUUAAUACCGCAUACGACCUGAGGGUGAAAGCGGGGGAUCUUCGGACCUCGCGCUAUUGGAGCGGCCGAUGGCAGAUUAGCUAGUUGGUGGGGUAAAGGCCUACCAAGGCGACGAUCGGUAGCUGGUCUGAGAGGACGACCAGCCACACUGGGACUGAGACGCGGCCCAGACUCCUACGGGAGGCAGCAGUGGGGAAUUUUGGACAAUGGGCGAAAGCAUGAUCCAGCAAUGCCGCGUGUGUGAUGAAGGCCUUCGGGUUGUAAAGCACUUUUGGCGGGAACGAAAAGGACUGUGCCAAUACCACGGUUCGAUGACGGUACCCGCAGAAUAAGCACCGGCUAACUACGUG